AGUGAACGCUGGCGGUAGGCCUAACACAUGCAAGUCGAACGGCAGCACAGUAAGAGCUUGCUCUUACGGGUGGCGAGUGGCGGACGGGUGAGGAAUACAUCGGAAUCUACUUUUUCGUGGGGGAUAACGUAGGGAAACUUACGCUAAUACCGCAUACGACCUACGGGUGAAAGCAGGGGAUCUUCGGACCUUGCGCGAUUGAAUGAGCCGAUGUCGGAUUAGCUAGUUGGCGGGGUAAAGGCCCACCAAGGCGACGAUCCGUAGCUGGUCUGAGAGGAUGAAUAGCCACACUGGAACUUGGACACGGUCCAGACUCCUACGGGAGGCAGCAGUGGGGAAUAUUGGACAAUGGGGGCAAGCCUGAUCCAACCAUACCGCGUGGGUGAAGGAAGCCUUCGGGUUGUAAAGCCCUUUUGUUUGGAAAGAAAAGCAGCAGGUUAAUACCCCGCUGUUCUGACGGUACCCAAAGAAUAAGCACCGGCUAACUUCGUG
rnacentral:rRNA from 1 species